GGAUUGUGGCUUAGAGGUAGAGCGUUUGCCUACCAUGCAUGAGGCACUGGGUUCGAUCCUCAGCACCA
rnacentral:tRNA from 1 species